rnacentral:rRNA from 1 species
CCUACGGGUGGCAGCAGUGGGGAAUAUUGCACAAUGGGGGAAACCCUGAUGCAGCGACGCCGCGUGAAGGAAGAAGGAUUUCGGUAUGUAAACUUCUAUCAGUAGGGAAGAAAAUUACGGUACCUGACUAAGAAGCUCCGGCUAACUACGUGCCAGCAGCCGCGGUAACACGUAGGGGGCAAGCGUUAUCCGGAUUUACUGGGAGUAAAGGGAGCGUAGGCGGUUUAGCAAGUCAGAAGUGAAAGGCCGGGGCUCAACUCCGGGACUGCAUUUGAAACUGUUGGACUAGAGUGCAGGAGAGGUAAGUGGAAUUCCUAGUGUAGCGGUGAAAUGCGUAGAUAUCAGGAGGAACACCAGUGGCGAAGGCGGCUUACUGGACUGUAAAUGACGCUGAGGCUCGAAAGCGUGGGGAGCAAACAGGAUUAGAUACCCUUGUAGUC